UACGUAGGUGGCAAGCGUUGUCCGGAGUUACUGGGCGUAAAGCGCGCGCAGGCGGCCAUCUAAGCCCGGCGUGAAAGCCCCCGGCUCAACCGGGGAGGGUCGUCGGGGACUGGGUGGCUUGAGGACGGCAGGGGCUGGUGGAAUCCCCGGUGUAGUGGUGAAAUGCGUAGAGAUCGGGGGGAACACCCGUGGCGAAGGCGGCCAGCUGGGCCGUUCCUGACGCUGAGGCGCGAAGGCGUGGGGAGCGAACGGG
rnacentral:rRNA from 1 species